rnacentral:misc_RNA from 1 species
GCAAACUUGGUCAUUUAGAGGAAGUAAAAGUCGUAACAAGGUUUCCGUAGGUGAACCUGCGGAAGGAUCAUUAGUGAAUCAAGUGUGGGGGUCCCAAUGCAAUCUAUCAUUGUGGAUUCCCCAACCCUUCGCUAUAACCCGGGGAGGCGACAAGCCAAACCGAGGGCAACCGCAAGGAAGCCCGCAAAAAGCUGGGCCUUCUUCCCAGCGCUUUCUUUUUAGAAUCAAAAAAGUUAUUGUAUGUCUCUGUAUUUGUUUUUAAAACACUAUACAACUUUCAGCAACGGAUCUCUUGGCUCUCGCAUCGAUGAAGAACGCAGC